CUCUUCGAUACUAAUGCAUGAAGAGUCGGACCUGCCCAGUGAAUUACUUUUAACGGCCGCAGUAUUUUGACUGUGCGAAGGUAGCAUAAUAAUUUGCCCUAUAAUUGGGGGCUGGUAUGAAUGGUUUGACGUGAGCAAAACUGUCUCUAUAUUGAUUUUUUAGAAUUUGACUUUCAGGUGAAGAGACUUGAAUUUUAUUAAAAGACAAGAAGACCCUAUUGAGCUUAGAAAGAAAUGGGUAAGAUUAAAGACAUCCACUCGGGAGAAACUUGUUUGCCCAAGAGUUUGGUUGGGAAGACUAAGGAACAAUUAAAGCUUCUUUGACAUUUUAAAGUUUUACAAAUGUUGAUCCAAAUGUUUUGAUUAAAGAAAUUAGUUACCAUAGGGAUAACAGCAUAAUUUUCUUUGAGAGUUCUUAUCGAAAAGAAAGUUUGUGACCUCGAUGUUGGACUAAAAUUUCCUGAAGAUGUAGUAGUCUUCAAGGGUUGGUCUGUUCGACCAUUAAAAUU
rnacentral:rRNA from 1 species